AUCCUUUUGUAGUUCAUACACAUGACAAUUGGGUUUCCACGCACGUGCAUGAGAUGUUCCUCCUUCAAACCUUGUUACUAUGUCAGCACAUUAACUGCCUGGCA
rnacentral:snoRNA from 2 species